GAUGAACGCUGGCGGCGUGCUUAACACAUGCAAGUCGAACGGAAAGGCCGAAGCUUGCUUCGGUACUCGAGUGGCGAACGGGUGAGUAACACGUGGGUGAUCUGCCCUGUACUUCGGGAUAAGCUUGGGAAACUGGGUCUAAUACCGGAUAUGACGAUCUCUUGGAUGGGGUUGUGGAAAGCUUUUGCGGUAUGGGAUGAGCUCGCGGCCUAUCAGCUUGUUGGUGGGGUAAUGGCCUACCAAGGCGUCGACGGGUAGCCGGCCUGAGAGGGUGUACGGCCACAUUGGGACUGAGAUACGGCCCAGACUCCGACGGGAGGCAGCAAUGGGGAAUAUUGCACAAUGGGCGCAAGCCUGAUGCAGCGACGCCGCGUGGGGGAUGACGGCCUUCGGGUUGUAAACUCCUUUCGCAAUCGACGAAGCCUUUUGGUGACGGUAGGUUGAGAAGAAGCACCGGCUAACUACGUG
rnacentral:rRNA from 1 species